AGAUUAGAACUNAAAGGAAUUGACGGGCCCNGCACAAGCAGCGGAGCAUNGGGUUAAUUCGACGNNACUCGAAGAACCUUACCAAGGCUUGACAUAUAGGGAAAAGUGGCAGAGAUGUCAUGUCCCGCAAGGGGCCCUAUACAGGGUGGUGCAUGGUUGUCGUCAGCUCGUGUCGUGAGAUGUUGGGUUUAAGUCCCGCAACGAGCGCAACCCUCGUUCUGUGUUGCCAGCAUUUAGUUGGGGACUCACAGGAGACUGCCGGGGUUAACUCGGAGGAAGGUGGGGAUGACGUCAAAUCAUCAUGCCCCUUAUGUCUUGGGCUGCACGCAUGCUACAAUGGCCGGUACAGAGGGCUGCAAUACCGUAAGGUGGAGCGAAUCCCAAAAAGCCGGUCUCAGUUCGGAUUGAGGUCUGCAACUCGACCUCAUGAAGUUGGAGUUGCUAGUAAUCGUAGAUCAGCAACGCUACGGUGAAUACGUUCCCGGGGCUUGUACACACCGCCCGUCACGUCACGAAAGUCGGUAACACCCAAAGUCAGUGGCCCAACCGCAAGGGGGGAGCUGCCUAAGGUGGGAUCGGUGAUUGGGACGAAGUCGUAACAAGGUAACCGUAAAGACUGGAGAUCUG
rnacentral:rRNA from 1 species